ACUCAUUUGCAACCCAACAAAGUGAGCCUUUGGUUUGGUAAAAAUACCCCAAACACUUACAAUCCAAAUUACACUUUUUCUCGCAAUCUUUUUGGCGAAGCCCUUCUCCUUUGUUAUACUUUGUCAAGAAAUGAUCCACACCUUCAACUUUGUAAUAAUGGAAGCUUUUGGGGUCACAUGAACUUACCUUCUUCGCCAUACAUGUCUUGCUCCAUCCCAACAGCCCCUUCUCCGUUGGGCAGGCCACACAUUGGUUCUCCUCACACAACCCGAACUGCCCGCAUCGCUCCGGCCACUGGCAUUCGCUCUCCGUGUUCCCUGUAUUAAAUUCCCUAUCGAACAAUGUGAACGUAAUCUCCGACGGGCUCCAGUCCACUUUGUCGUUGUAUGUGAACAGCCGGAGGUUUCCGUCUAUUCCUAAUCGGAGGAAUGUUAAUGUGCUGUUGUACUUUGGCCGUGAAAGAAUUGGUCCCCCGUUCUCUGUUCCUGCAACUUCGUAGUUCAAUGUCAACUCGGUGGCAAAUCCUUGACGUGGAUCUACCUCGGCUCGGAGAGUGACUCUUGUGAGAGUGCCUUUCUCGACUGUGAACCAAUUCGAAAAUCCGGCGAAGUAGCGCAUUGGUUUUGGAGAGUUAGGGCUUUUGUAAUACAGAGACAUGGCGUUUGGUUCCAUUACAAAGCUGUAAGGCCCAUUCACGUUUAAUUUCGCGGAUGCGCGGCUUACUAGCUUCGUUACGCCGCCGAGUCGGAGCGAUUGGCCGACUAGGAGUGAGUCCGUAGGUGAAUCGAAGCUCUGCCAAACGAAUUUGCCGUUGGAGUCGAGGAGCACCAUGUUGCCAUUAGGGAGCAUUUUGAGUCGGACGACCCCUUUGUUGGCAGUGUUCGAUUGCCAAAUGAGGGUGCCGUCAGAUUGGGCGAGGACUAGGUUUCCGUCGGUGCCGAGAGAGAGGGUGGCAUUUUCACGAACCGGACGGCCGCGAUUGGCUUCCCACACCCACCUGAUGGUCGAUUCGGAGCGGCGAAUGGCCAUUCGAAUAGCGAGUGUAUAUGCAUUGGGCGUGGUGUUGUAGAACAUGAGCUGAAAUGGGGAGUUGGAGAUGGGGAGGGGUCUGUAAGUUGCUUCAUACUCGACGCUGAAUUCGCCGAAAUCGCCUUGGUUGACGAACUUGAUAGUCUGGUUGGAAGGAACGAGAGCAAGAGAGAGGGAAAUGAAGAAGAAGAAAGAGAGGAGUAGAGGUGUGAAGAAUGGGUGUCUCAUGUUUAGAAGAAACUCAGUUUUUAUGGAUGAUGAGAGGAUAAAGAUGAUGUUUAUUUAUAGAAAAGCCCAUAAGGGUAUUUAAGUAAUUGUAGUAACAGCUUUAUUUAUGUAUAUUUUUCAUUCUCUGUUGGGUUGUAAUUAUUAUUAUUAUUAUUAUGUAUUUUAAUUUUAUUUUGAUAUUUUGCAAUUUCUUUGAUCAUUGAAAAAAGUCAGGACUGGUAGGCUAAGAUUUGAAUUUCCUCUGUAGUGUCCCAAUAACAUCGACCACACAACCCUUAAGAAGGAAAUCCAUUAGGAAGAUAAGUUGGGCAUUCAACCUGAUAAUGACUAUGACCCCCGCACUCCCUACACUUUGAAUCAUUUAUUAUCUCUAGCACUUUGUCGAUCAAGCUCUCUUUUUUUAAAGUUAUUAUGUGCAUGGUUGCUUGAUCCAUAGUUGUUAAAUGUGAACUGCUUCGUCAAUAUGACAAUCCACUAAUUUACUUGAUCAUUAGACAAUUUUUAUUUCUCAAAAGAUUCAUCUUCAUGUACUAAUUGAAAGUCAAUACCUUUUCCCUUACUUUCUUCUCUGUCUCAUAAGGUAAUUUCAAAUGUACAUAAGGAUCCAAACAAUUGAUCAAGAGAUAGUGUAGUGAUGUCCUGUGCUUUUUCAAUGACUAUUACUUUCAUAUCAAACCUUCUAGGAAGUGAUCGCAAAACUUUCCUAACAAGUUUAGAGUAUGAAAUUCCCUCACCAAGAUUGAAGGAUUCAUUGGCAAUUUCCAUAACUCUCACAUUGUAUUUAGUUAUAGUCUCUUCUUCCAUCAUUUUUAAUGAUUCGAACUUAGUUGUUAAUAGUAGCUUACGAAAAGUCUUUACUUUAGAGGUACCCUCAAAUACCACUUCAAGUGAUUUCCAAGCAUCUUUUACUAUAAUGCUAUAAUUGAUUAAUUUGAACACGUUCAGAUCGACUCCAUUAUAUAUGACAUUGAGUGCACGAGAAUACCCCAACAACUGCUGUUCUUCUGCAUCUGUCCAAUCUUUUUCAGGUUUUGGAACAGAUUUACCAUCUACAGUAACCAUCAGUGGUUUCCAAUCAACUUUAACAACUUUCUAGGAAUUUGCAUUAAGUGACUUUAAGAAGAAGGUCAUACGAGUCUUCCAAUACAAAUAAUUUUUAUCAUCCAAUAUGGGUGGUCUUGUAGUUGAUCCACCUUCUCUUGGCAUCUCCAUUUACCGAACCCGCUCUGAUAUCAAUUGAAAAAGUAAGAUAACAAAAUAACAUUUAGCUUUAUCUAAAGCAUUUAACUAUAUAAAUAGCUAGAGUACACAAGUGACAAAUAACAUAGAACACUUUGGUAACUCAGUUCGACAAAUACGACCUACAUCUAGGGAGAUUCGUAGCUCAAAUAAUAAAUAUUAUUGAGAUUCAAAGUUUGUAACUUAUCACUAAGUUUACAUUAAUAAGUUAUCACCAUAAUUUAAAAAUAAACUCAGACUCUUCCUGAAGGUAAUCAUGAAUCUCUUCUAAAACUAGUUUAGGCUCCCUGUGACUUAGUGAAUUGAACUCACACUCCUGUGUUCUUCAAUUCAUAUUUCUUAUCUUUCUAGUUUUGUCAGAUAAGCAGACUAUCUUCAAUGAAAAUUUAAAUACCAGAAGGCAACCAUCAUACCUUCAACAAGAACUACUUGAAAAUACGAGAUAGUAUUUUCCUAGUAGUGCCAAAUUUUUCGUCAACCCAAAAAGCAAUCCAUGGUCAUAUACCAUCUGAUAUUAAUAUUCACAAUAACUCCUUCCCAAUCAUGAGCAUAACAACCACAGGCACCAAGAUUCCUAAAGUAGAGGAAAAUAAAGUAACUUAAUUGAACUCCAUCAUCUUUCAAAAAAAAAAUUCUUUAAUAAAACGUUUAAUUAUUUUUUAUAAAAUAUCUUAACAAUAGGAAUGAAUGAACAAAUUUUAUUAAAAAAAAAAAAGUUAGUCUAAUAAUCCAUCCUUAGUUUCACUUAUUUAUUUUGUAAUAAUAUUUGUACGAUUGAGAAUCUUUCACCAGAAAAAUCAAAUAAUUUGCACAUUUUUUAUCGUAUAUUAUCGUAGUAUGGUCACUACUCUUUACAAAUUGGUGGUUAUGAGAUUUAUUAGUAACAUUUUUAUUGUUAAGUAAAUAUAAUUUGUUUUCAAAUUCUAAAAAUAAAAAAUGAAAUAACAUCACAUAUUUAGACAUUUAAAGAUACCUCAUAUAAAAUAUUGCUCAUAAGAUAUUUUUUUAUAAUAAAAAAUGGUUUUAUAUUAGUUUUUGUGUAUAUUUUAUUUAAGAUAAUGAUAUUAAGAAUGUUAAAAAGAUUAAAGGAUAAAAUUAGAUUAAAUGUUUGAUGAAAAUUUAAUAGAGCAAAACGUGCAAGAAUCAAUUAACAAAUUUUAUUUAGAAAAAUGGUUUUCUUUUUUACAAAAGAAAAUUUGAGUGCAUCAUACCUACCUCACUCUCAUCUAAUAUUCUAUUUAUAGUUUUUUUAAAAUUUUUCAAUCUUAGUGUUAGAGCCAAGGAGUAAUGACUAUUCAAAAGAAAAUGUUCCAUUAUUAUUUUAAAAGUGAGCUUGGCUAACAAAAUGACUUUUGACUUUACAUCACAUUGUUGAUGUACUCAAAACAAAUCCAAAUGAUCUUAUUUCAUUUUCAUCACCGACUAAUUUAUUAUUUGGUCACAACCAUUUGUUUAAUUCAAUUAUCUUUCAAAUUUACGUUUAUCAUUAUUUAAUAAUACUAUAUUUAACUAUACAAAUUUCUCUCUUUUUUUUUCCCUCUAUGAUCUAUUUCUGUCCACCUUUACUAGAUAAUAGUUAUUCCCUAUUUCCUAAACGUAGAGCCAAAUAUCAUGGUGAAUAGCGAGCUAUUGAAAUGUACUUUUUUUUAAAAAAAGAUUAAAAACUCAAAUUUUAAUUCUUUAUUAGUCACAAACAUUUGACAAAAAAAAUAUUACACGGAAAUUAAUAAUAACAAUAAUAAAGCAAUAUCAUCCAUAUUAUUCCAAAAUUCACUUAACAAAAAAAUAGUACACAAUCACUUUUUUGAGUUAACCAUCAACCUCUAGAAAUAUACUGCAUAUCAAUACAACUGAGUGAAACCCAUUAUCUUUAUUAUGUAGUUUUGAAACACACGUAUUUGGAAAUUACAUACGGAAAGAAAAGGCUCGAUCUUUUCAGAGUCUACUUAUUGGGUGUUUUGAUGAAUCCCAAAUGAGUGGAAUUAUCCACUUUGAUCAAAGUUUUCAACUCAUUUGCAACCCAACAAAGUGAGCCUUUGGUUUGGUAAAAAUACCCCAAACACUUACAAUCCAAAUUACACUUUUUCUCGCAAUCUUUUUGGCUAAGCCCUUCUCCUUUGUUAUACUUUGUCAAGAAAUGAUCCACACCUUCAACUUUGUAAUAAUGGAAGCUUUUGGGGUCACAUGAACUUACCUUCUUCGCCAUACAUGUCUUGCUCCAUCCCAACAGCCCCUUCUCCGUUGGGCAGGCCACACAUUGGUUCUCCUCACACAACCCGAACUGCCCGCAUCGCUCCGGCCACUGGCAUUCGCUCUCCGUGUUCCCUGUAUUAAAUUCCCUAUCGAACAAUGUGAACGUAAUCUCCGACGGGCUCCAGUCCACUUUGUCGUUGUAUGUGAACAGCCGGAGGUUUCCGUCUAUUCCUAAUCUGAGGAAUGUUAAUGUGCUGUUGUACUUUGGCCGUGACAGAAUUGGUCCGCCGUUCUCCGUUCCGGCAACUUCGUAGUUCAAUGUCAACUCGGUGGCAAAUCCUUGAUCUGGAUCUACCUCGGCUCGAAGAGUGACUCUU
rnacentral:lncRNA from 1 species